rnacentral:rRNA from 1 species
CAGGGAUUGCCCUAGUAACGGCGAGUGAAGCGGCAACAGCUCAAAUUUGAAAUCUGGCCCCAUUGCCCGAGUUGUAAUUUGCAGAGGAUGCUUUUGGCAAAGCGCGUACCGAGUCCCCUGGAACGGGGCGCCACAGAGGGUGAGAGCCCCGUAUGGUGCGACGCCGAGCCUCUGUAAAGCUCCUUCGACGAGUCGAGUAGUUUGGGAAUGCUGCUCUAAAUGGGAGGUAAAUUUCUUCUAAAGCUAAAUACCGGCCAGAGACCGAUAGCGCACAAGUAGAGUGAUCGAAAGAUGAAAAGCACUUUGAAAAGAGGGUUAAAUAGCACGUGAAAUUGUUGAAAGGGAAGCGCUCGUGACCAGACUUGCGCCGGGCGGAUCAUCCAGCGUUCUCGCUGGUGCACUCCGCCCGGCUCAGGCCAGCAUCGGUUUUCGCCGGGGGACAAAAGCUUCGGGAACGUGGCUCCCUUCGGGGAGUGUUAUAGCCCGUUGCUUAAUACCCCGGCGGGGACCGAGGACCGCGCUUCGGCAAGGAUGCUGGCGUAAUGGUCAUCAGCGACCCGUCUUGAAACACGGACCGAGGAGUCAAGCAUUAGUGCGAGUGUUUGGGUGUAAAACCCGCACGCGUAAUGAAAGUGAACGUAGGUGAGAGCUUCGGCGCAUCAUCGACCGAUCCUGAUGUUUUCGGAUGGAUUUGAGUAGGAGCAUUAACGCUUGGACCCGAAAGAUGGUGAACUAUACUUGAAUAGGGUGAAGCCAGAGGAAACUCUGGUGGAGGCUCGCAGCGGGUUCUGACGUGCAAAUCGAUCGUCAAAUUUGAGUAUAGGGGCGAAAGACUAAUCGAACCAUCUAGUAGCUGGUUACCGCC